AAAUUCUCAACCAUGAACAACUCUUGUUGCAUCGUGGCUUGGAUGUGGGGGGUCAUAUUGCAGGCUUUUCAAGUCUGCUCCCCUGAAAUGCAUUAGUAGUAUCUGAGCAGAAACUACAAGGUGUGAUAAUUUAUCUAUUGCCUUCAGUAGUAUGCUAAACCAGAUUACACUGCUUCCAACAAUGAAAAAGUGGAUUUUAACCGACCACAUUUUUUCUUUUGAUAA
rnacentral:misc_RNA from 1 species